rnacentral:ribozyme from 2 species
UCUGUAAUGCUACCCGGUUAGUUGCCAGACAGUCACAAGUCUGUAAAGCAGAGUGCAGA